ACAUGCCUACAACAUAGCAUUAAUGCACAAUAUCCCAUUAGAAAUCCACAAUUAAGCGUGCUCAGGAUAGAGUAGUACUGGGACGGGUGAUUGCCCAGGAAGUCCUAGUGUUUUACAUGCC
rnacentral:rRNA from 1 species